rnacentral:rRNA from 1 species
UACGUAGGGGGCGAGCGUUGUCCGGAUUUAUUGGGCGUAAAGAGCUCGUAGGCGGUUGGGUAAGUCGGGUGUGAAAACUCAGGGCUCAACUCUGAGACGCCACUCGAUACUGCCCUGACUCGAGUCCGGUAGGGGAGCGUGGAAUUCCCGGUGUAGCGGUGAAAUGCGUAGAGAUCGGGAAGAACAUCGGUGGCGAAAGCGCUCUACUGGACCGCAACUGACACUCAGGGACGAAAGCUAGGGGAGCGAAUGGG